rnacentral:rRNA from 1 species
GAGUGAAGCGGCAACAGCUCAAAUUUGAAAUCUGGCCCUCUUUGGGGGUCCGAGUUGUAAUUUGUAGAGGAUGCUUUGGCAUUGGCGGCGGUCUAAGUUCCUUGGAACAGGACAUCACAGAGGGUGAGAAUCCCGUACGUGGUCGCCUGCCUUUGCCGUGUAAAGCUCCUUCGACGAGUCGAGUUGUUUGGGAAUGCAGCUCUAAAUGGGAGGUAAAUUUCUUCUAAAGCUAAAUACCGGCCAGAGACCGAUAGCGCACAAGUAGAGUGAUCGAAAGAUGAAAAGUACUUUGGAAAGAGAGUCAAAAAGCACGUGAAAUUGUUGAAAGGGAAGCGCUUGCAGCCAGACUUGCCCGCAGUUGCUCACCUAGGCUUUGGCCUGGGGCACUCUUCUGUGGGCAGGCCAGCAUCAGUUUGGGCGGUUGGAUAAAGGCCUCUGUCACGUAUCUCCCUUCGGGGUGACCUUAUAGGGGAGGCGCAAUGCAACCAGCCCGGACUGAGGUCCGCGCAUCUGCUAGGAUGCUGGCGUAAUGGCUGUAAGCGGCCCGUCUUGAAACACGGACCAAGGAGUCUAACAUCUAUGCGAGUGUUUGGGUGUCAAGCCCGGGCGCGCAAUGAAAGUGAACGGAGGUGGGAACCCUUUGGGUGCACCAUCGACCGAUCCUGAUGUCUUCGGAUGGAUUUGAGUAAGAGCAUAGCUGUUGGGACCCGAAAGAUGGUGAACUAUGCUUGAAUAGGGUGAAGCCAGAGGAAACUCUGGUGGAGGCUCGCAGCGGUUCUGACGUGCAAAUCGAUCGUCAAAUUUGGGCAUAGGGGCG